CACUCAAUUCAGAAUGAUGAGUUUGCUCAGCUUUUGCACAUGCGCAGAACACUGCCCCUGCAAAAUUGUGUGUGUCAACCCGUGCAUCCAGCAUCCUCCCUCACCUCAUGGAACAAAUUGAAAACUAAGCCUGCGCGGUGCGGUUGAAAUUGUGAAGAAUUAGAAGAAGAAUUACAAAAGGAGGAGCUGCGGCGGUGAUCAUGUAGAGCUGCGUGUGGCGGAGGUUGAAAGCAGAUGGCCAGCAUUGUUUUCAGAAAGACAAAUUGCUGCUGAGUUCACGCGUCUUGUGGCU